GUGGGGAUCUUGGGCAAUGGGCGGAGCCUGNCCCAGCGACGCCGCGUGAGGGAAGAAGGCCCUCGGGUCGUAAACCUCUGUCAGGAGGGAAGAAAAUGCUAGAGAUUAACAGUUUUUAGUAUUGACGGUACCUCCAGAGGAAGCGCCGGCCAACUCCGUGCCAGCAGCCGCGGUAAUACNGGAGGGCGCAAGCGUUAUUCGGAAUUACUGGGCGUAAAGCGCGCGUAGGCGGCAACGUAAGUCAGGUGUGAAAGCCCUCGGCUCAACCGGGGGAUGGCACUUGAAACUGCGUAGCUGGAGUUCUGGAGAGGGUGGCGGAAUUCCCGGUGUAGGAGUGAAAUCCGUAGAGAUCGGGAAGAACACCAGAGGCGAAGGCGGCCACCUGGCCAGAAACUGACGCUGAGGCGCGAAAGCGUGGGUAGCAAACAGGAUUAGAUACCCUGGUAGUCCACGCCGUAAACACUGGAUGCUAGAUGCGGGUGGCGUUANAAGUCAUUCGUGUCGCAGCUAACGCGUUAAGCAUCCCGCCUGGGGAGUACGGCCGCAAGGCUGAAACUCAAAGGAAUUGACGGGGGCCUGCACAAGCGGUGGAGUNUGGUGGUUUAAUUCNAUGCANCNCNAAAAACCUUACCUGGGCUUGACAUNCCNGGNAAUCNCCUGGANACAGNCNANNGCCCUUUNGGGANCCCNGNNACNNGGNNCU
rnacentral:rRNA from 1 species